UCCAAGGCGACUGGGACGCGGUGGCUUGGGCAGGCGAGGCUGGUGGCGGCUGCGGGAAGCCAUGGGGGAAGGGGCAGACGGCAGUGAACUGGUGGACUCUGAGCGGAUCAUGUCGGAAGUGGAGCAAGAGGCACAAAUGAAAGAAGCGCUAGAACGCUCACUGUUCGAAAUGAAAAAUACAGUGGCAGAACUGGAGAAAAGGCUUAACAGUGUUGAGGACCAAGAUAAUGAAUGGAAGACGAGGUACGAAACACAAAUAGAACUGAACAGACAGUUAGAAAGGCAGAUUGGGCUUUUCCAACAUAAAAUGCAGCACGUUUGCGACAACCCAGCAGACAGAUUGGCUUCUGUUCGCUCUUUUGAUCAAAUGCACCUGGAUUCUUUAAAUCAGUUUCUGAAACAGCUGGAAGAAGACAAGAAAAAUCUCCAGAACCAGCUGAAAGAGUAUACGCUCAGACUGGAACAAGAAGGAAAGGCUUACCAUAAAGUUAAUGAUGAAUGCCGUGCAUACUUAGCAGUGAUUUCACAGCUUGUGUGUGGAGCUAAGAAUUGGUAUGUAUUUACUUCUUCAGAUGUCAGGAUCAUUGAAAUCAUCUGAGAGGCAGAAAAAGGAUGAAGUAGAAAUCAAGAGGGAAAACCAGAUUCUGAGAGGAAGGUGCAAUAUUCCGAAGAAUCAAAGAAUUCUGGACCCAAAGAAAGGACCAAUUAAGAAGACUGCAGGAGUGAAGCAUCUUCCCAAAUUGAAACUCUGACUACAGUUUCCAAGUUUUCUGUUUGUUUAUUCUCCCUUCACUUCCCCUUAAGAGUCAAGCCAAAUGUAUUAUUUUAAGGCAGAACAUAUAUUAAAGCUCUAGCACUAACCACAGAAGCAA